CUCCCAGUUUGGUAUAUUUAACUUGGGCACAGUACUGAACAAAUGCUACAGAGAUGCCAAGUUGUUGGGGCAGGGGGAGGGAAGAAAGUUGGUUUGAUUUUGAGAGCCUUGGAAGAUCAUUAAAAUUUCAUAACAGGCAGGGAAAAAAAAGAAAGGUUGUUUGCUUAUAAGGUCUCUCGUGUUUAAAGAGCUAGAGACAAAACUGCCGAGCAGUAUAUUCCAGUUUAUCCUGUGGAAUAGGAAGGAAUGGCCCCAGACGUAAUUACAAGGGUACAGCGGGGAUUCACAACCUCAGUUCUCAACCUUUCCCUUAUUUCUUCAUGGGAGGAAGUGAAGUGGCAAGGCUCCCAGCUAGACACAUUUGUCGUCUCAGUGUGGAGGAAUAAUUGGAGCACGGCUCCUGUUAGGGAGUUGUUUAAAAGGAACCUUCUUCAGAUCUUUUAAUUUUUUUUUCUUUUUUUUUUUCUUUUUUUUUUCUUUUUUUUUCUUUUCUUUCUUUCUUUUUUUUUUUUUUCUUUUUCUUUUUUUUUUUUUCAGAAACUAAGACUUAAAAAUACAGCUUCAGUUUAAACAUCCCUUACCUCCAGGCAGCAAAGCUGUGGACAAUCAAUAAGGUCAAACACACUUUUUGUGUGUACAGCAGAUAAUGUCACUUACGAGCACAAAAGGCUUCUGGGCUCUACAACAGCUGGUGAUACAACAGAAGUCUCAUUUCUGAUGUGCAAAGGGGAGCUGGCAUGAAUGGAACAGGACGCCUGGAGAGGUGGCGGAGUCACCGUCCCUGGAAGUGUUCAGGCGCCAUGGAGGUGUGGCACUCAGGGUUGUGGUUAAUGGGCAAAAUUGAUGGUAGGUGGACAAUUGGAUUAGAUUAGCACAGAGGUCUUUUCCAACCUUAAUGAUUUCAUUAUUCCGUGCUUCUAUGCACUCUUCUCCCUGAGCACCUGAUCUCUGUUCAUAACUUCCCAAUCUAAGCAGGCCACCCCAAAGACUCAUCGAAGUGAUAGAUGCAGAUUGGGUUCAUAUGAAGGGAAAAGUAAGAUUCUGCUUUAUUUGUUUUCUUUUCCAAAGGCUUAUGCAAGCAUAUUUCACAUGCUUCAGGCAGCAAAAAGCUUAAAAGAAGCUGAAGUUGUUGGGGUGAAGUGUAGUGGCUGAUUCCCAAAACCAUACUCAGCAUCCUGGACUUCCCACUCUGCAUCCACCCCACUGCAGAAAUCUCUGCUGGCUCAGGGAAGCAGUUUGCAAUCCCUGUGCUCCAACACUGGGAAAUAGAGACCUUUUUAUCUUUGGGUUUUCAUAUUCUGAAGAAAAUGAUCAGUGGCCAAAAAAGCCACUUAUUUCAGUAGCUGUGCUGAGGGCU
rnacentral:lncRNA from 1 species